UACGUAGGGUGCGAGCGUUAAUCGGAAUUACUGGGCGUAAAGCGUGCGCAGGCGGUUCGUUAAGUUCGUUGUGAAAGCCCCGGGCUCAACCUGGGAACUGCAAUGGAAACUGGCGGGCUUGAAUGCGGCAGAGGGGGGUGGAAUUCCGCGUGUAGCAGUGAAAUGCGUAGAGAUGCGGAGGAACACCUAUGGCGAAGGCAGCUCGCUGGGACGGUACUGACGCUGAGGCGCGAAAGCGUGGGGAGCAAACAGG
rnacentral:rRNA from 1 species